rnacentral:rRNA from 1 species
AGGGCGUGUGGCGGAUGCCUUGGCACUGAAAGCCGAUGAAGGACGUGAUAUACUGCGAUAAGUUUCGGGGAGCUGUAUGUAAGUUUUGAUCCGAAAAUUUCCGAAUGGGGAAACCCACCACUUUAUGUGGUACUUUAAACUGAAUACAUAGGUUUAAAGAGACAACCUGGAGAACUGAAACAUCUAAGUAACCAGAGGAAAAGAAAUCAAUUGAGAUUCCGUUAGUAGUGGCGAGCGAAAGCGGAAUAGGCCAGUAAAGAUGUUAAAUUAAUUUGAAAAGUUUGGAAAAACUUACCACAGAGGGUGAUAGUCCCGUAAAAGUAAUAUUUAAUAUUUUUCUUGAGUAGAGCGGGACACGUGAAAUCUUGUUUGAAUAUAGGGGGACCACCCUCUAAGCCUAAAUACUCUUCAGUGACCGAUAGUGAACUAGUACCGUGAGGGAAAGGUGAAAAGAACCCCUAUUAGGGGAGUGAAAUAGAACCUGAAACCGCAUGCCUACAAUCAGUCGAAGCUCUUUUUAGAGUGACGGCGUACCUUUUGUAUAAUGGGUCAGUGACUUAAUUUAUUAAGCAAGCUUAAGCCAUCUAGGUGUAGGCGUAGCGAAAGCAAGUCUUAAUAGGGCGAUUAGUUUAAUGAAUUAGACCCGAAAACGAAUGAGCUUACCAUGAGCAGGUUGAAAGCAAGGUAACACUUGCCGGAGGACCGAACCAGUUGACGUUGAAAAGUCUUUGGAUGACUUGUGGUAAGGGGUGAAAGGCCAACCAAAUUCGUAGAUAGCUGGUUUUCCGCGAAAACUAUUUAGGUAGUGCGUUGAAUAAAUAGAUGUUUAGAGGUAGAGCACUAAAUGGGCUAGGGGGAAGAGAUUCUUACCAAACCUAAUAAAACUCCGAAUGCUAAACAUUGUUCUUCAGCAGACAGACUGUGGGUGCUAAGGUCCAUGGUCGAGAGGGAAAGAGCCCAGACCACCAGAUAAGGUCCCAAAAUUAUGAUUAAGUGUGAAAGGAUGUGGAAAUUCCUUAACAGCCGGGAGGUUGGCUUAGAAGCAGCCAUCCUUUAAAGAUAGCGUAACAGCUCACCGGUCUAAUAGAGUUUCUGCGCCGAAGAUGUAACGGGGCUAAAAUCAUAUACCGAAUCUGUGGAUUUAUAAUUUUUUCGAAAAUUAUAACUGGUAGCGGAACGUUCUGUAAGCCUGUAAAGGGAUACCCGUGAGGGAUCCUGGAGGUAUCAGAAGUGCGAAUGCUGACAUAAGUAACGAUAAAAGAAGUGAAAAACUUCUUCGCCGAAAAUCCAAGGGUUUCUGCGCAAGGUUAAUCCGCGCAGAGUUAGUCGGCACCUAAGGCGAGGGCGAAAGCCGUAGUCGAUGGAAAUAAGGUUAAUAUUCCUUAACCAGAUGGUAGUGACGAAUCUUGUAAGUUGUAAAUUCUUAAUGGAUUGAAUUUGCCGCGAAAAGGUUCCAAGAAAUAGCUCCAUCAUUAGACCGUACCCUAAACCGACACAGGUGGAUUAAUAGAGUAUAUUUAGGCGCUUGAGAGAAUGAUGUUGAAGGAACUCGGCAAAAUGCUUCUGUAACUUCGGAAUAAAGAAGACCUUUUUUUGGGCAACCAUUUAGAGGUGGCACAAGCCAGGGAGAAGCGACUGUUUAUCAAAAACACAGGGCUCUGCUAACACGUAAGUGGAUGUAUAGGGUCUGACGCCUGCCCGGUGCUGGAAGGUUAAUGCGAUGGGUGCAAGCUCAUUUCUGAAGCCCCAGUAAACGGCGGCCGUAACUAUAACGGUCCUAAGGUAGCGAAAUUCCUUGUCGGGUAAGUUCCGACCUGCAUGAAUGGCGUAACGAUUUCUCCGCUGUCUCCAACAUCAACUCAGUGAAAUUGAAUUCUCCGUGAAGAUGCGGAGUUCGCGUAGUUAGACGGAAAGACCCCGUGCACCUUUACUGCAACUUUACAUUGGUGUUAGGAAAAACAUAUUUAGCAUAGGAGGGAGACAUUGAAGCAAAGGCGUCAGCUUUUGUGGAGUCACCAGUGAAAUACCUCUUUUGUUUUUCUUGAUAUCUAACUGAUUGCCGUUAUCCGGCAUCAAGACAUUGUAUGGUGGGUAGUUUGACUGGGGCGGUCGCCUCCCAAAUAGUAACGGAGGCGUGCGAAGGU